rnacentral:misc_RNA from 1 species
AGGCGCGUGACGACGCUUUCCGUAUUGUUUAUCUAAGUUUUUCCUAUAUUUAAACAGUUUUCCUAGUAUUUUUUUAGUGAAAUCAGUGGUUUUAGAUGUGUGUUAUUUAAUAUUACAGACAUGUCAAGGAUCAAGUAUCGAGGUGGUCUGAUGGCGGUCGUGAUGGGAGCACCGCACGGGGCGGCGACAGUCAUCUUAUUUUCUACGUGUAUCGUAAUUUAUUGGAAAUUAACUGUGUGAAAAUACAAUAUCUCUUAUCAAGGAACACGUAAAGUAGUGUUCACAAUGGUAAAGGAUCACAAAGGAGGUUUUUUUUUGUUUAGAAUUAAUUUUUCUGAUCUUCAAUAUAGUUAGAAUAAAAACCUGCUUAAUACUGCACGUUGAGAUUAAAAUGCUAUAAAUAAAUUAACUAUGGACAACUAUUUAAAUUUUAAAUGAUUCAAAUGGUGACGCUAAAAAAAUAAAUAAUUAUGAGAA